UACGUAGGGUGCGAGCGUUGUCCGGAAUUAUUGGGCGUAAAGAGCUCGUAGGCGGUCUGUCGCGUCGGUCGUGAAAACUUGGGGCUUAACCCUGAGCUUGCGGUCGAUACGGGCAUGACUGGAGUUCGGCAGGGGAGACUGGAAUUCCUGGUGUAGCGGUGAAUGCGCAGAUAAUCAGGAGGAACACCGGUGGCGAAGGCGGGUCUCGUGGGCCGAUGACUGACGCUGGAGGAGCGAAAGCGUGGGGAGCGAACAGGA
rnacentral:rRNA from 1 species